rnacentral:rRNA from 1 species
CAAAUGACUCUCGGCAACGGAUAUCUCGGCUCUUGCAUCGAUGAAGAACGCAGCA